GUGAAUCAUCGAAUUUUUGAACGCAAAUUGCACUUCUUGGUAUUCCGAGGAGUAUUCAUGCUUGAGGGUCUGUUAAAAGAAUUGUGCAUUAGUGAUGUUUCGGAUUUGGUAUUAAGCUUUUAUUAAUUGGUUAUUUAAAUUUAAUAUGGAUAUGUAAUGUGAAGCGUACUAAUUAUGUAUUUGCUAUUCAUUUAUAUUUAUUACAUUACAACUAUACGAACGUAAUUAGUUUGUGUUUAC
rnacentral:misc_RNA from 1 species